rnacentral:rRNA from 1 species
CUACGGGGCGCAGCAGUGGGGAAUAUUGCGCAAUGGGCGCAAGCCUGAUGCAGCCAUGCCGCGUGUAUGAAGAAGGCCUUCGGGUUGUAAAGUACUUUCAGCGGGGAGGAAGGGAGUAAAGUUAAUACCUUUGCUCAUUGACGUUACCCGCAGAAGAAGCACCGGCUAACUCCGUGCCAGCAGCCGCGGUAAUACGGAGGGUGCAAGCGUUAAUCGGAAUUACUGGGCGUAAAGCGCACGCAGGCGGUUUGUUAAGUCAGAUGUGAAAUCCCCGGGCUCAACCUGGGAACUGCAUCUGAUACCGGCAAGCUUGAGUCUCGUAGGGGGGGGUAGAAUUCCAGGUGUAGCGGUGAAAUGCGUAGAGAUCUGGAGGAAUACCGGUGGCGAAGGCGGCCCCCUGGACGAAGACUGACGCUCAGGUGCGAAAGCGUGGGGAGCAAACAGGAUUAGAUACCCGCGUAGUC